GGUUACAGAAAAUUUGCUCUCUGCUUAACUUCUGAAGGCCUCAUGGAAACUAAAGCUUGGCUGGUCUCAUCUUCCACUGAUAUCUUAAGACAAUCAAGAGUGACCUUCAAGUUCUAGAUUCAAGGUCUCUCAGAAACAGGUUUUUGGCCAUGCAACCCUUCACACCCAGGCUGUUUAAAUGGAAAAAAUUGUGGAGAUUUAAAAGCUAUCUUGUGAUGACUCAUCACAGGAUCACGUGG